GCAGUAACGAUAUGAUUUGAUAAAAUUUAUUUAUUGUUAUAUUUGUAAGAUUUUAAUUAUUAUAAAAAAAUUAUUUUGUUGUUGUUGUAUUUAGGGAAGAUUUAAUUGGUUGGGUUAUAAUUUAUUUGUACUGUGGGGGUUUAUUGAAAUAUUAUUAUUAUUGGGUUGUAAGUUGAAUUUUUUUUUGUACCUUUUGUAUCAGGGUGAAUUAAUUAAUUUUUAUUUAUUUUAUUAUUCUCGAUUUCUUUAGAGUUAAUUAGUUAUUUUAGUUAAUGUGAUAUAAUCAUUAAAAAUAAUUGGUUGGAAGUGAGAUGUUAUUCGUUUAGGAGGGUAUCUGGUUUUUUGGGAAAUAAAUUUAAUUUACAUCUUUUCUUUAUUGGUUUUCUUAUGGAAAUAAAAUUUGAGAUAGGAUGAUUAGUAUGGGGGCUAAGCUUUAUACUAAAUUAUUAUAGAUAAUUUGAUCAAUAAAAUUUUAUGGAUUUAAUAGUGAUUUAUGUUGUAAGUAUGUUAAAAUUUAAUUUUUUUAUUUUAGGAUUUUUAUUUUUCUUAAUGUUUUACUAGAAUAAUUUGUUUAAUUUUUUAUUAUUUUUAAUAAUGAUUUAAUUAGUAUAUUUUAUUUUAAUUUAUUAUUUUGUUGAUUAGUAAUUUUGAGGAAUUAGGCAAUUUAUUAAUUAUUCGCCUGUUUAACAAAAACAUCUUUUCUUGUUAUUAUUUGAAAUAUAACCUGCCCAAUGAAAUUUAAAUGGCCGCGGUAUUUUGACCGUGCAAAGGUAGCAUAAUCAUUAGUCUUUUAAUUGAAGGCUGGAAUGAAUGGUUGGACGAAAUAAUAACUAUCUUAAUUUUAUUAAGUUGAAUUUAAUUUUUGGGUUAAAAAGCUUAAAUAAUUUUUUGGGACGAGAAGACCCUAUAGAAUUUAAAUAUAAUUAAUAAUUUAAUUGGAUUUGUAAUUAGUUGAAUUGUGAAUGGUAUUUUGUUGGGGUGAUGGAAAGAUAGAAGUAACUCUUUAUUAUGAAUUAAUUAUAAAUCUAUAUAAUUUUGAUCCACAAUUAGUGAUUAAAAGGCUAAAUUACCUUAGGGAUAACAGCGUAAUCUUUUUUGAGAGUUCAUAUCUACAGAAAGGGUUGCGACCUCGAUGUUGGAUUAGGAUUACUUUUGGGUGAAGAAGCUUAAAAAUUAGGUCUGUUCGACCUUUAAAUUCUUACAUGAUCUGAGUUCAAACCGGUGUAAGCCAGGUUGGUUUCUAUCUAAUAUAAAUUAAAAUAUUUUAGUACGAGAGGACCAAAUAUUUAAAAUAAUUUUUGUUUAUUUGAUUAUUAUUACUAUUUUGGCAGAUAAGUGUGUUAGAUUUAGAAUCUAUUUAUGUAAUUUUGAUUACAAGUAG
rnacentral:rRNA from 1 species